UUAUUUGAAGCUUGUAGCAAUGAACUUUUAAUUCAUCAUUAGUUUUUUAGUUUAAACCAAAUAAA
rnacentral:tRNA from 1 species